UUCCGUAGGGUGAACCUGCGGAGGGAUCAUUACUGAGUUAUCUAAACUCCCAGCCCUGUGUGAACCUUACCGAACUGUUGCCUCGGCGGGCCGCGUCUCGCCCUGUAGUUUGCGUACCUGGCGGCCGCGGUACCAGGCGCCCGCCGGAUGGACCUGCUAAACUCUGUUACUGUAGUCCCCUCGCGGACGUUAUUUCUUACAUGCUCUGAGCAAAAACUUCAAUAAUGAUUCAAAACUUUCAACAACGGAUCUCUUGGUUCUGGCAUCGAUGAAGAACGCAGCGAAAUGCGAUAAGUAAUGUGAAUUGCAGAAUUCAGUGAAUCAUCGAAUCUUUGAACGCACAUUGCGCCCGUUAGUAUUCUGGUGGGCAUGCCUGUUCGAGCGUCAUUUCAACCCUCUAAGCCCCUCCGGUUGGUUGGCGUUGGGGAUCUGGGAAUCUCUCAGACGGGAUCCUCGUUCCCCGAAAGUACAGUCGGCGGUGUCGCCGCAGCGUACUCCUGCAGCAGUAGUAUUGCACAUUCUCGCUUUUGCGGUAGCCGCGGCGCGUCCUUGUCCGUAAAACACCCUAUAUCUUUCUGAAGUGUUGACCUCGGAUCAGGUAGGAUUCCCCGCUGAACUUAAGCAUAUCAAUAAGCGGAGGAA
rnacentral:rRNA from 1 species